GGCUCCGCGCCGCCGCCAUCUUGUGGGGGGCUGCGGGGGGCGGGGGGUCCAGGCAGACAGUCAUAGAGCCAUGAAGGUUUGCUGCUGUGUUCGUCACCAGUGCCAAAACAGCAGCCUGCUAGUCCCAGGGCAUGCUGCUCCGAGAUAGAUGGGCACCACGAUGAAUUCGCUGUUCCCUACUAUACCUCUUCUUUGACAGUCCUGUCAAAGCUCAUUCAGCUUGAAGCAUGGCAGCACUGGUAUCCAGCUUCUCAUCUCUUCUACAACGUGAUGUCUAGAGGACAGUCAAAGUUAUUUUGGAUCAGGUGGAGGCUGGCCCAGCACCACACGUCUCCAGUGCAAAUUUUGAAACUCCCUGAGGUACAGCCAUCUCACAAAACUUUACAUCCUCAACCACGGGACUUGUAGGGAGCAGCAUGCUCCCCUUCCGUCUGCCUCAUGUAGACAAAAAGGAGAGGCAGAAUACCUUUAAGGCAACACUUACCACUAUGACAUCU
rnacentral:lncRNA from 1 species